UCCUGGGACCUCCCAAAUUCUCAAGCAGCAGCUUUUUUGUUUGCUAUACCCUACUGAGGACUCAUGGUCCAAGACUGUAGACACUGAGCGCUCCUCAGACUCCCGCACCGCCCGGAAACCUUUGUGAGAUGUGACAAAAUCCAGACCACAGAGCUCUGAGAGUGGGGGCCUUUUGUCAUCAUCUGCAUGACAGACCCGGCAGAGCCAUGACUAACUCGGGAGCUCCCGCCACCUUCCCUCCUGCAGUUGUUCUCUAUGAUGGAAAGGGGCUUGCUUCGUCCUAGAGCAAAGAAGGCGGCCCCCAGGGUGAGCUCAGAGCUCGCAGCGCUGGGCUGGCUUGACGGACAGACAGUGAAACAGGACCAGAGGACGCACCACCAGGCUGAGCUCCUUCCCAGCUCUUCGCUGCUGCAGGGCAACAGGAGUAAUCUCUACACCCAACGUGAGGCUUCGAAGGCCCGAAGC